rnacentral:RNase_P_RNA from 1 species
AGGCUGAGAUGCCUGUAGUGAUCAUGCCAACAUUAAUAAGGUUGGGGUAAUUAAAUUACACGACUAGCACCACAGAGACGAGAAUUGUGAAACGGGUAAGCUCCAUGAGCU